CUUAUUUCUCGCAAGAGAGAUGAGUUCCUAGCGGCGAACGGGUGAGUAACACGUGGGCAACCUUUCCUAUCGCGGGGGAUAACACCGGGAAACCGAUGCUAAUACCGCAUGUCGUCACUGAUCGCAUGGUUGGUGAAGAAAGCAGCAAUGCACGAUGGGGUGGGCCCGCGGCCUAUCAGCUAGUCGGUGGGGUAACGGCCUACCGAGGCGAUGACGGGUAGCUGGUCUGAGAGGACGGCCAGCCACACGGGGACUGAGACACGGCCCCGACUCCUACGGGAGGCAGCAGUGAGGAAUCUUCCGCAAUGGGCGAAAGCCUGACGGAGCGACGCCGCGUGUGGGGUGAAGUCUUUCGGGAUGUAAACCACUGUCGGAGGGGAAGAAAACAGACGGUACCCUCCAAGAAAGCCCCGGCUAACUACGUGCCAGCAGCCGCGGUAAUACGUAGGGGGCAAGCGUUAUCCAGAUUUACUGGGCGUAAAGCGCGUGUAGGCGGCUGGUUAGGUGUGACGUGAAAUCUUCCGGCUUAACCGGAAAACUGCGUUGCAAACCGGCCUGGCUAGAGUGCAGGAGAGGGAAGCGGAAUUCCAGGUGUAGCGGUGAAAUGCGUAGAUAUCUGGAGGAACACCAGUGGCGAAGGCGGCUUCCUGGCCUGCAACUGACGCUGAGACGCGAAAGCGUGGGGAGCGAACCGGAUUAGAUACCCGGGUAGUCCACGCCCUAAACGUUGUGAACUAGGUGUUGGUCGGAUUGACCCGAUCAGUGCCGCAGCUAACGCAUUAAGUUCACCGCCUGGGGACUACGGCCGCAAGGUUAAAACUC
rnacentral:rRNA from 1 species